GACGAACGCUGGCGGCGCGCUUAACACAUGCAAGUCGAGCGAUGAAACUUUAACAGAACCCUUCGGGGCGAAGAUAAAGUGGAUUAGCGGCGGACGGGUGAGUAACACGUGAGUAACCUGCCUUAGACAUUGGGAUAGCCUCGGGAAACCGGGAUUAAUACCAAAUAAAAUCAUAAUGACACAUGUCAUAACGAUCAAAACUCCGGUGGUCUAAGAAGGACUCGCGUCCCAUUAGCUAGUUGGUAGAGUAAAAGCCUACCAAGGCGACGAUGGGUAGCCGGCCUGAGAGGGUGAACGGCCACAUUGGAACUGAGAAACGGUCCAAACUCCUACGGGAAGCAGCAGUGGGGAAUAUUGCACAAUGGAGGGAACUCUGAUGCAGCGACGCCGCGUGAACGAAGAAGGCUUUCGAGUCGUAAAGUUCUUUUAUAUGGGAAGAUAAUGACGGUACCAUAAGGAAAAGCCCCGGCUAACUACGUG
rnacentral:rRNA from 1 species